UACAGAGGGUGCAAGCGUUAAUCGGAAUUAUUGGGCGUAAAGGGUGCGUAGGUGGUUUAAUAAGUUAGAUGUGAAAUUCCUGGGCUUAACCUGGGGACUGCGUCUAAUACUGUUAGUCUAGAGUACUGUAGAGGAAGGUGGAAUUUCCGGUGUAGCGGUGAAAUGCGUAGAUAUCGGAAGGAACAUCAGUGGCGAAGGCGACUUUCUGGACAGAUACUGACACUGAGGCACGAAAUCAUGGGGAGCAAACAGG
rnacentral:rRNA from 1 species